GUUUAGCCCAGAUCGAGGCGGUAUCCUUUUUACUGCUUCUUUAGCAGGAAAAAGAUAUAGCUGAGAGCCGGACAAUUG
rnacentral:sRNA from 1 species